UGCAAUCUGAUUUUAGUGUGAAUUUCAUAGACUUCCAGUGGACGCACUGUCUUCACGAGGGAAACACUGCAGGAACCAGCCUAAAACACGCUCAGGAGUAUGAGCUGGCUGGCUGAAAUCCCCUGUUGGCUCAGUUUGUGACAGCACAGGGAUCAACCUUCCUACUCAUAGGCUUCCAUGGCCAUGCAAAAAUCUUUUUUGAAGCUCCUCUUUGAGUUCCCUGUGGCAAGAAACAGCUGUUUCUGUUCUAAACUCGGCUCCUCAUGCUCUCAGGCCAAUCAUGUCAAUCUGGUGGAGUAAAGGUCUAAAGGAAGUCAGACCAAUGUAACUGUGUGGACACCCGCUUUGUUAAAAGGAUGGGAAAACCUUCUCCCUGGAGAUCUUAGACAAAAAAAAAUUGAUGGUUGAUAGAUUUCAUAUGGAACAUACAACAAAAACCUCAAGGUGCUACAAAUUUCUUCUUCUUGUUGAGGCUGACAUUGGGAUCAGGAUUUACCCAGUCCCCUGGCAACUCUUACCAGCAAGAGUCCUUCACAGAUAAGGAUUCAAGGAGGGAAGCCUCUCAGAAAGAUGGAAGUUGUAUAUUGCAGAAUAGAUUUCUUUCUUGAAGAGCACGGCAAGGCAAAGCAACCUGUUACUGAAGC
ensembl:lncRNA